AGUGAACGCUGGCGGCAGGCCUAACACAUGCAAGUCGAACGGUAGCACAGAGGAGCUUGCUCCUUGGGUGACGAGUGGCGGACGGGUGAGGAAUACAUCGGAAUCUACCCUGUCGUGGGGGAUAACGUAGGGAAACUUACGCUAAUACCGCAUACGAACUGAGGUUGAAAGCGGCGGACCGCAAGGCGUCGCGCGAUUGGAUGAGCCGAUGUCCGAUUAGCUAGUUGGCGGGGUAAAGGCCCACCAAGGCGACGAUCGGUAGCUGGUCUGAGAGGAUGAUCAGCCACACUGGAACUGAGACACGGUCCAGACUCCUACGGGAGGCAGCAGUGGGGAAUAUUGGACAAUGGGCGCAAGCCUGAUCCAGCCAUGCCGCGUGUGUGAAGAAGGCCUUCGGGUUGUAAAGCACUUUCAAUUGGGAAGAAAAGAACAAAAUUAAUACUUUUGUUCCUUGACGGUACCAAUACAAGAAGCACCGGCUAACUCCGUG
rnacentral:rRNA from 1 species